AUACGAAGGGGGCUAGCGUUGUUCGGAUUUACUGGGCGUAAAGCGCACGUAGGCGGAUUGAUUAGUUAGGGGUGAAAUCCCGAGGCUCAACCUCGGAACUGCCUCUAAAACUGUCAAUCUCGAGACCGGAAGAGGUGAGUGGAACUCCUAGUGUAGAGGUGGAAUUCGUAGAUAUUAGGAAGAACACCAGUGGCGAAGGCGGCUCACUGGUCCGGUACUGACGCUGAGGUGCGAAAGCGUGGGGAGCGAACAGGAUUAGAAACCCCAGUAGUCC
rnacentral:rRNA from 1 species